UGGGGAAUAUUGCACAAUGGGCGAAAGCCUGAUGCAGCAACGCCGCGUGAGUGAUGAAGGCCUUCGGGUUGUAAAGCUCUGUCUUCUGGGACGAUAAUGACGGUACCAGAGGAGGAAGCCACGGCUAACUACGUGCCAGCAGCCGCGGUAAUACGUAGGUGGCAAGCGUUGUCCGGAUUUACUGGGCGUAAAGGAUGCGUAGGCGGAUACUUAAGUCAGAUGUGAAAAUCCCGGGCUUAACUUGGGAACUGCAUUUGAAACUGGGUAUCUAGAGUGCGGGAGAGGAAAGUGGAAUUCCUAGUGUAGCGGUGAAAUGCGUAGAGAUUAGGAAAAACACCAGUGGCGAAGGCGACUUUCUGGACCGUAACUGACGCUGAGGCAUGAAAGCGUGGGGAGCAAACA
rnacentral:rRNA from 1 species